rnacentral:lncRNA from 1 species
GGGCCGGCAGAAGCUUGGAUAAGCGAAUAUCUUGGACAAUAAGGAGGGAUUAAGGAAAAGCCUAUUAAACAUCAAAUUAGGUUGUGAUGUUACAAAUUAAGCACCAAAACAUCAUGUUAUACAACAAAUUUGACAGAAAAUGUAGUUCAAUAUGCAGUAAUGUUAUGUUGUAAUAACUGCAUUUACGAAUUUAGCACCAAAAUAUCACGAUGUAUUGAAAACAUUGACUACAAAAAUGGCUUGGAUUAUCCAGAGGCUUGGAUAAGUGAGACUCUACUGUAUUUUUAAUUAUUAUUAUUAUUUUAAGGAGGAAUGAAGGAAAAGCCUAUUAAAUGCCAAAUUAUGUUACGAUUUUACAAAUGAAGCACAGAAACCUCGUGUUUUAUAACAAACCAACAAACCAUUUAGUUGCAGGAGAGCAAGCCCUAUGAGGAGCGGCUGAAACAGUUGGGCAUGUUUAGCCUGCAGAAGAGAAGGCAGAGAGGAGACAUGAUAGCCAUAUACAAAUAUGUGAGAGUAUUAAUUCCUGCUUUAAUAAUUAAACCAUAUCCAUUUUAAUUCCUGUUCCUUUGUUUUUAAACAGAUUUUAUUUUAUUUAUGCUCAAUUCAAUAAAGUACCAACUACGUAUUCACAGUGUAGUAGGCUUUCCUCUGAUCUUAAGUCUAGUUGUGUCUGACUCUGUGGCUUGGGGCUCAUCUCCAUUUCUGAGCUGAAGAGCCAGCGUUGUCUGUAGACACCUCCAAGGUCAUGACUGCAUGGAGCGCUGUUGCCUUCCCGCCGGAGCAGUACCUAUUGAUCUACUCACAUUUGCAUGUUUUCGAACUGCUAGGUUGGCAGAAGCUGGGGCUAACAUUGGGAGCUCACUCCGCUCCCCGGAUUCAAACUGUCAACCUUUUGGACAGCGGGUUCAGCAGCUCAGCGGUUCAACCUGUUGCACCACUAGUCACUUCUUAAUAAAGAUGCUGUCUUGGGUGGGAGUCUCUUCUGAGCCUAGGAUUCUGUGGAUCGGUGCCUCUUGCCCAUUUGUUCUCUGUGUUUUCCUAGAUGCCGCAGAACGUGGAGAUCAAGGCCCGGGUGCGGGACCUGGCGCACCUCGUGAGCAACGCCGAGCGGCUGAGUGGGUCCGCGGGGGAACUCAUCCGGCAGACAGACACCUUCUUCCCCGCCCCAAAGGGCCGCCUGAAGCUCCGAGACUUCCGGGUGGUGCUGCGGGAGGGUCAGAGCCCCGGGGACGGAGAGGCCGAGGCCCGGCGCCUGAUGGGGGAGCUGGGUGUCCGCGAGGAGGACCUUCUGGCCGGGGCCUACAUGGACCUCCUCCUGGCCAGAGCGGGCGGCCCUCCCUGACACAGACCUCACUCUGGGCCACUCAAAGGUCGCCAGUUGUUCUAGUGACUUAAUAAAAUGGGAGAAAUACUAAAAAAGACAACAUCUUCAUUGCCAAGUGGGCUUGGCCUUGGGCAAAAGUGGUCUGACCCUUGGUUUUGUUCCUGCUUUGUCUUUGCAAGACUUGGGGUGCCUUUGCACUGGGUUAAAUGAACUCACCUUGAACUGCCAGAGCUUAGGGCCAGUUAACAUCUCCCAAACAGAGGGUGCCUCCAGGCAACAGAUCCCCUCACUGAUUGACUUUGCAGAUGUAAGGCUACUCAAUGGUAUUCAAGCUUGCUCAUUGGAACAUUUACACUUGCUUAAAACAGACAAGGGUUCAAUGCGACUGUCACCUGGGAUGGCGACAUCAAUGAUCCAAACCUUUUUCUUUUCCACAACUGUGAUGUCUGGUGUGUUGUGUUCCAGAACUUUGUCAGUCUGGAUUCGGAAGUCCCACAGUAUCUUUGCGUGCUCAUUUUCCAAUACUUUUGCAGGUUUGUGAUCCCACCAGUUCUUUGCUGUUGGAAGGUGGUACCUGAGGCAUAAGUUCCAAUGAAUCAUUUGAACCACAUAGUUGUGCCUCUGUUUGUAGUCUGUCUGUGUGAUUUUCUUACAGCAGCUGAGGAUAUGAUCAAUGGUUUCGUCGGUUUCCUUGCACAGUCUGCACUUUGGGUCAUCAGCUGAUUUUUCGAUCUUGGCCUUAAUUGCCUUUUUAUUAUUAUUAUUAUUAUUAUUAUUAUUAUUAUUAUUAUUAUUAUUAUUAUUAUUAUUAUUAUUCUACUUGACACACAAGGAUAGGAAGUCUCCUAAGAGCCUGCUGCUUUUUGCCCCUUCAUGUCCUGCUCCCUUCAGAUUGUUCUGUGUCACCACCCUUCUGCCGUAUUGAUGGGAGUCUCAUGCGCCAUUGAAUCUCAUGCACACCAAAAGAAGGGUGUGCUGGCGAAUGUCAUGUGCAGCUGCCAGAAGUGCCCUCUUUGUCAUUGGGCCAGAAAAGGGUGCCCGCCUGCUUAUCAUUCCUUCUUCGGAAACAAAAGUGUUGGAGUGUCAACGCUUCCAGGGAUGGAAAGGAAAACCUUGGGGUGCAUCUCUUUAACUGCCUUUAACUGCCUUGGUUCAAUCCUAUGGAGUCAUGAGGGAUGUAGUCUCCUGGACUUUGAUACUGUAGACCAUGGUGUCCUUCUGGGCCACCUUGCGAGGCUGGGUCUUGGGGAUAUUAUUCUACACAGGUUCCAGUCCUUCUUGGAGGGUCAUUCCCAGAAGGUGUGACUGGGGGACUCCCAGGGCACAGUACUGUCUCCCAUGUUGUUGAACAUCUACAUGAAGCCGUUGGGAGAGAUCAUUCGGAGUUUUGGAGUUCGAUGCCAUCUGUACGUAGAUGACGUCCAACUCUACUACUCCUUCUAAGGAGGCUGUUCGAGUCCUGAACCAACCGGUGCCUGGCCACUGUGACGGUCUGGAUGAGGGCGAACAAACUGAAGUUGAAUCCAGACAAGACGGAGGCCUUCCUGGUCAGUUGUAAGGCUGAACAGGGAAUAGGGUUGCAGCAUGUGCUGGAUGGGGUCACACUCCCCUUGAAGGCGCAGGUUCGCAGCUUGGGAGUCCUCCUGGUCUCAUCGCUGAGCCUGGAACCACAGGUCUUGGUGGUGGCUAGGGAAGCUUUCGCACAAUUAAAACUUGUGUGCCAGUUGUGCCCGUACUUUGGGAAGUCGGACUUGGCCACAGUGGUCCACGCUCUCGUUACAUCUAGGAUAGACUACUGCAACAUGCUCUACGUGGGGUUGUCUUUGAAGACUGUUCAAAAGCUUCAAAUAGUCCAGUGAGAGGCAGCCAGAUUGCUCACCGGAGCUACAUACAGGGACUAUACAAUCACCCCUGUUGUGCCAGCUCUAUUGGUUGCCUGUUUGCUACUGAGCACAAUUCAAAGUGCUGGCUUUGGCCUAUAAAGCCCUAAACCAGGGGUCCCCAAACUAAGGCCUGUGGGCCGGAGGCGGCCCUCCAAGGUCAUUGACCUGGCCCCUGUUCUAAACUUUAGACUUAGGGUUGACCUAAGUCUACUUGGUCUUUGGAGGUCUCUUUGCUUACCUAUGGUAUUAUGAAACUAUCUAGAUGGUCUUUGAGGUCCCUUUCCUUAUCUAUGGUCUUCUGAUGGCCUUAUGAGAUCAUCUAGAUGGCCUUUAGGGUCCCUUUCCUUACCGAUGGUCUUAUGAAACCAUCUAGAUGGUCUUUGGCGGUCUCUUUGCUUACCUAUGGUCUUAUGAAACCAUCUAGAUGGUCUUUGAGGGUCCGUUUCCUUAUCUGUGGUCUUCUGAUGGCCUGAUGAGAUCAUCUAGAUGGCCUUUGAGGGUCCCUUUCCUUACCGAUGGCCUUAUGAGAUUGUCUAGAUGGUCUUUGAAGGUCUCUUUGCUUAGCUACGGGCUUAUGAGACCAUCUAGAUGGCUUUUGGAGGUCACUUUCCUUACCUAUGGUCAUAUGAGCCCGUCUAGAUGGCCUUUGAGGGUGCCUUUGCUUACCUAUGGUUUUAUGAGAUUGUCUUGAUGACCUUUGAGGGCCCCUUUCCAUACCUGUGGUCUUAUGAAACCAUCUAGAUGGUCUUUGAGGGUCGCUUUCCUUACCGAUGGUCGUAUGAGACCAUGUAGAUGGUCUUUGGAGGUCUCUUUGCUUACCUAUGGUCUUAUGAGAUCGUCUAGAUCAGGGGUCCCCAAACUAAGGCUCUCCAAGGUCACUUACCUGGCCUCUGUCCUAAACUUUAGACUUAGGGUUGACCUAAGUCUGAAAAGACUUGAAGGCACACAACAACAACAAGCCUAUUUUUGGACUGUUUCAUAGUCCGGCCCCCCAACAGUCUGAGGGACUGUGAAUCGGCCCUCCACUUAAAAAGUGUGAGGACCCCUGCCCUAAACAGCCCUGGCCCAGUUUACCUGUCUGAACACACCUCCCUCUAUGAACCACUGCGGAGAGUAAGAUCUUCCGGGGAGGACGUGCUCUCGGUCCUGCCACUGUCACAGCCACAACUGGCAGGGACAAGAGAGAGGGCCUUCCGUCUCAGGGAUUGACCCCCAUAGGGCUAUGGCACCCCCUCCCUGGGGAGACAAGACCAGCCCCCUCCCUCCCUCCUGUCCUUCAGGAAGAUGGUCAAGACCUGGACGUGGGACCAAGCCUUUGGGGCAGGGCAAUGGCGGCAGCAAGAGGAAAUAUGGUGCGGCUGACUUGCCAUGGUUUUAAAUCACGGUUUUAAUGUGAAGAUAACUGAUUUUAGUGUUUACGUAUAGUUAUGGUUUAUUUUAGGAGUCCCCAGUGGCGCAGUGUGUUAAAGCGCUGAGCUGCUGAACUUGCAGGUUGAAAGGUCUGCAAGUCCAUCGUUCCAUCAAGCCCUUCCUUCCUUUUUUCCUUUCCUUCCCUCCCUCAAGCCCUUCCUUCCCUCCCUCCUUUCCUUCCUCCUUUCCUUCCUCCUUAUCCCUCUUCUUUCUCUCCACCUUUCCUUUUAUCCUGGCCUGCCUUCCUUCCUUCCUUCCACCCAUCCUUCUGGCCUUUCCUUCCCUCCCUCUUUCUUCCCUCACUCUCUCCUCCUUCCUUCAUUCUAUUCUUUCCUUCCUCCCAUCAAGCACUUCCUUCCUCCUUCCCUUCCUCCCUUCUUUCUCUUCCCCCUUCCCUUUCUCCUGGCCUUCCUUCCUUCCAUCCAUCUACUCGUCCUUCCUUUGCCUCCCUCCCUCUUCCUUCCCUUGCUUUCUAUUCCUUUCCUUUCUUCAAUCCAUAUUCUUCCCUAUUCUUUCCUAUUCCUUUCCUUCCUGCUCCUUCAUCUCUCCUUUCCUAUUCCUUCCUGUUCCCUUUCUAUUCCUUCCCUUGCUCCCUCCUUUAUUCCUUCAAUCCAUUCUUUUCUUCCUUCAGUCCAAGCCCUCCCUCCCUUAUUCUUCCUUCCUUCCUUCCUUCCUUCCUUUCUUUCUCUCCACCUUCCCUUCCUCCUGGCCUUCCUUCCUUCCUCCCUCCCUUCCUUCCUUCCACACGUCUUCCUGUCCUUUCUUCCUUCCCUCCCUCCCUCUUACUAUUCCCUUCCUAUUCCUUCCUUCACUCUCUCCUCCUUCCUUCCUUCAAUCCAUUCUUUCCUUCUUCCCAUCAAGCCCUUCCUUCCCUUCCUCCUUCCCUUCCUCCCUCCCUUACUCUCCGCCUUCCCAUCCUCCUUCCUACCACCCAUCCUCCUGUCCUUUUCUUCCCUCUCUUCCUCCCUCUUCACUCCUUUCCUUCCUUCCACACAUUCAUCCUGGCCUUUACUUACCCUCCAUCUUACUAUCCCUCGCUAUCUCC